rnacentral:rRNA from 1 species
AGGUAAGCUACUAAGAGCGAAUGGUGGAUGCCUUGACUGGUAAAGGCGAUGAAGGACGUACUAGACUGCGAUAAGCUACGGGGAGCUGUCAAGAAGCUUUGAUCCGUAGAUUUCCGAAUGGGGCAACCCAAUGUAUAGAGAUAUACAUUACCUAUAUAGGAGCGAACGAGGGGAAUUGAAACAUCUUAGUACCCUCAGGAAAAGAAAUCAAUAGAGAUUGCGUCAGUAGCGGCGAGCGAAAGCGCAAGAGGGCAAACCCAGUGCUUGCACUGGGGGUUGUAGGACUGCAAUGUGCAAGAGCUGAGUUUAGCAGAACAUUCUGGAAAGUAUAACCAUAGAGGGUGAUAGUCCCGUAUGCGAAAAACAAACCUUAGCUAGCAGUAUCCUGAGUAGGGCGGGACACGAGGAAUCCUGUCUGAAUCCGGGUCGACCACGAUCCAACCCUAAAUACUAAUACCAGAUCGAUAGUGCACAAGUACCGUGAGGGAAAGGUGAAAAGAACUGAGGUGAUCAGAGUGAAAUAGAACCUGAAACCAUUUGCUUACAAUCAUUCAGAGCCCUAUGUAGCAAUACAGGGUGAUGGACUGCCUUUUGCAUAAUGAGCCUGCGAGUUGUGGUGUCUGGCAAGGUUAAGCAAACGCGAAGCCGUAGCGAAAGCGAGUCUGAAUAGGGCGCUUAGUCAGAUGCUGCAGACCCGAAACGAAGUGAUCUAUCCAUGAGCAAGUUGAAGCUAGUGUAAGAACUAGUGGAGGACUGAACCCAUAGGCGUUGAAAAGCCCCGGGAUGACUUGUGGAUAGGGGUGAAAGGCCAAUCAAACUUCGUGAUAGCUGGUUCUCUCCGAAAUAUAUUUAGGUAUAGCGUUGUGUCGUAAUAUAAGGGGGUAGAGCACUGAAUGGGCUAGGGCAUACACCAAUGUACCAAACCCUAUCAAACUCCGAAUACCUUAUAUGUAAUCACAGCAGUCAGGCGGCGAGUGAUAAAAUCCGUCGUCAAGAGGGAAACAACCCAGACUACCAGCUAAGGUCCCUAAAUCUUACUUAAGUGGAAAACGAUGUGAAGUUACUUAAACAACCAGGAGGUUGGCUUAGAAGCAGCCAUCCUUUAAAGAAAGCGUAAUAGCUCACUGGUCUAGUGAUUUUGCGCGGAAAAUAUAACGGGGCUAAAGU